AAUGCUGUACCAACCACAUUUGUUUUUUACACCCCAGAGUGCCUUUAAGUGCCUUUCUAGUUAUGAGUUCAAUCUAAUCGUAUAAGAUGGGGCUUUUUCCGUCUGACUUUUUACAGAACGUUGUCCGCUGGCGGAUUCGGUAUUCAACUGUCGGCGAGGACGAAAUUUGUUAUCCUCGGGGGCGGGAGUCGGUUGAAAAUUAAACAUAAUCAUGUGCAACAUAAAUAUGCAAGUGGAGUGCGGCUCGCCGUUUGGGUCUCCACAUCCCGGCGUGCUAUUGAUAUUUGGCCAAAAGCAGGAGGAUUCAGUGCGAACAGGAGCAGGAAGCAGGCAGAGGAGUCGCAGAAGCCAGCGAAGCAGCAGCGGCGACUGGCAAAGUUUGCAUAGCAAACAAUGAGCACUUCUGGCACACACCCUACACCCUACAUCUUACACCCUGCAACCUAUGCGCUACACCAUCUACACACAGGCUGUUCGUUAGAGUGGCAAAUCAAACAGUUCCCCACAUCGCCCGAUGAAUAUGUUUAUGCCAGUUGGCAUUGCAAUAACUUCAUAAAUAUGCAGUGCAGAACUGCAGACAGAAGCAGUUGAAGCUGCUGAAUUUAAAUUCAAACGGCGGCAACAUAGUCGGAUUCAAUGCGGCGAAGGCAGAACAAUGCAAUUAUGAUUCGGCUGUCAAUUAAAUGGAAAAUUUACAGCACUUUAAGUGCACUGGCCCAGGCACUCGCACUGCGAUAGCCGAAUGGAAUAAGCAUAAAAUAAAAUCAUAUAAAAUAUCAAU
ensembl:ncRNA lncRNA:CR45506 long non-coding RNA:CR45506